GACGAACGCUGGCGGCGUGCCUAAUACAUGCAAGUCGAGCGGACUUUCAAGAAGCUUGCUUUUUGAAAGUUAGCGGCGGACGGGUGAGUAACACGUGGGCAACCUGCCUGCAAGACGGGGAUAAAUCCGGGAAACCGGGGCUAAUACCGGAUAAUAUCUUCCUUCGCAUGAAGGAAGGUUGAAAGGCGGCGCAAGCUGCCGCUUGCAGAUGGGCCCGCGGCGCAUUAGCUAGUUGGUGAGGGAACGGCUCACCAAGGCGACGAUGCGUAGCCGACCUGAGAGGGUGAUCGGCCACACUGGGACUGAGACACGGCCCAGACUCCUACGGGAGGCAGCAGUAGGGAAUCUUCCGCAAUGGACGAAAGUCUGACGGAGCAACGCCGCGUGAGCGAAGAAGGUCUUCGGAUCGUAUAGCUCUGUUGUCAGGGAAGAACAAGUACCGUUCGAACAGGGCGGUACCUUGACGGUACCUGACCAGAAAGCCACGGCUAACUACGUG
rnacentral:rRNA from 1 species